rnacentral:rRNA from 1 species
UCAAAUGACUAAAGGCUUACGGUGGAUACCUAGGCAUUCAGAGACGAUGAAGGGCGUGGCAACCGACGAAACACUUCGAGGAGCUGGAAACAAGCUUUGAAUCGGAGAAUCCCGAAUGAGGCAACUCUUAAAACUUUUUAUUGAAUUCAUAGAUAAAAAAGAGAAAACCCAGUGAAUUGAAACAUCUUAGUAGCUGGAGGAAAAGAAAGCAAAAGCGAUUCCCUUAGUAGCGGCGAGCGAAGUGGGACCAGCCUAAACCAAUCGAGCUUCUGUUCAAUUGGGGUUGUGGGAGGAUACAUAAAAACAAGAUUUAAGUAGAUGAAACAGCUGAUUCCUGUACCAUAGAAGGUGAUAGUCCUGUAAUUUAAACUAUAAAAUCUUGUAUAGGCUUCAAAGCCUAUAGAUAUCUUAUCCCAAGUAACAUGGGGCACGUGAAAUCCCGUGUGAAUCAACGAGGACCACCUCGUAAGGCUAAAUACUCCUGAAUGACCGAUAGCGAAAUAGUACCGCGAGGGAAAGGUGAAAAAGAACCCCUUAAGGGGAGUGAAAUAGCACAUGAAACCGUAAUCUACCAAGCUGUGGGAGAGAUAUUCUUAUCUUGACCGCGUGCCUGUGGAAGAAUGAGCCGGCGACUUAUAGGGAGUGGCUUGGUUAAGAGAUUGAAUCCAAAGCCAAAGCGAAAGCAAGUUUGAACAGAGCAAUUGUGUCACUCCUUAUGGACCCGAACCCGGGUGAUCUAACCAUGGCCAGGAUGAAACUUGGGUAACACCAAGUGGAGGUCCGAACUCAUCGAUGUUGAAAAAUCGUGGGAUGAGCUGUGGUUAGGGGUAAAAAUUGAUUGGCGAUUUUGCCCCACAAAAAGGUGACUUUUUGUAACAUACUGACUCAUAACGGUGAAACCUAAAGGUUACCACACUGCUUGACGUAGUAACCCAUGGCAAUACCGUGGGAAGUUUGAUUGACUGAGAAGUAAAUGUUUUUUAUAAUUAAAAACACGUUAAUUGUAAACCCCGUAACGACUAACUCGAAAGAGUCUAGCAAAAUUAUUUGCUAGCACGUCAGCACUCACAUACUUCAAUUUUUACCUUUUUCUAAAAAAAGCAGAAUUGUAGGUUAUGAAUUUAGAUUUUAUUGCAGGUUUUCUUGACGCUGAUGGACAUCUCGGAAUAACCUUGGAAAAAGACAAUAGUUGUAAGUUCGGUUAUAGGCGCAAACUAACAUUAUCUAUCUCAAACAAAGAUAAAUCAGUUUUAGAAAAAGUAAAAGAUUUUUUAAACUGUGGCAAUAUCUAUCGAGAUCGAGCUGGGUUUGUCUUUCGUACAAACUCGCAGAAAGAUGCAAGAGUAGUACUUUCUAAUUUUGAGAAUCGUGUUCAUGGUUCUGCUAAGAUUGAAAUGCCUCUUUGGAAGGAAGCUCUAUUUUUAUGUGAGAACGAUAACACAGUUGAAGGUUUCAUUAAAUAUAUAUAUUUAAUGUAUGGAAUUAAUUCUAAAGGUGUUAAUCGAAAACAUAAAAUCGAAUAUUACUGGGACCUUUUUCCAGGUAAAGAAAAUAAACGUAUAAUUGAAGCGAAUAGCCAUUAUGCAGAUAUUAUUCGGUCAAAAAUAACGCCUUCAAUAUGUAUGAACGGUUCAUACGUGAGCGGGUAUUUUCAAGGUGAUGGGAGUAUUUAUUUAUCAAAUAAAGCACGUUUUAUCACAGGCUUUUCUUUGUCAGAUCCGGAAAAAAGCGUAUUAGAAAAGAUCGAAAACUUUCUUUUACCUGAUAGUAAUGCUGUUUUUGAGGUUGAUCCUCAAACGCGUGAAAACAAUAAAGACUAUUAUAGGCUUCAAAUUGAUCGAUUGAAUAAAUGUAAAAAAAUUAUUAUUCCUCAUUUUGAUACAUUUCCUAUUUAUGGGAGGCAAAGAAAGCGUUAUCUCUUAUGGAGAGAAGCUGUCUUGUUGGCUCCAAAAACAGAUAAAAAUAGAACGAGAAUUGAUCAAAUCUGUCAAUUAUUAAAAGAAUUAUAGGUAAAAAUGUGAGUUGAAGGUAUAGUCUAAUCUUAGUUGAAAAACUAAGGGUUUCUUAUUUAACUUUGUCAGAUAAUUUCAGCGUCUAGCAAAGUAUCUUAGAAGACUUCUAAGAUCUUAUCCAGAAACCAAUAUAAAAUGGAAAUGCCAAUCGAACUCGGAGCUAGCUGGUUCUCCCCGAAAUGUGUUGAGGCGCAGCGAUUCAGGAAAUAAUGUACGGCUUAGGGGUAAAGCACUGUUUCGGUGCGGGCUGCGAAAGCGGUACCAAAUCGUGGCAAACUAAGAAUACUAAGCUUGUAUUCCCUGAAUCAGUGAGACGGUGGGGGAUAAGCUCCAUCGUCAAAAGGGAAAUAGCCCAGAUCACCAGUUAAGGCCCCCAAAUGACAGCUAAGUGAUAAAGGAGGUGAGAGUGCAGAAACAACCAGGAGGUUUGCUUAGAAGCAGCAAUCCUUUAAAGAGUGCGUAAUAGCUCACUGGUGGAGCGCUCUUGCGCCGAAAAUGUAUGGGACUAAGUUGUCUGCCGAAGCUGUGGGAUAUAUAUGUAUUACUUUAAAAUUAUAAGAAUUCUUAUAAAUUGAUAACUUUAAAAAUAUAUAUCGGUAGGGGAGCGUUCUGCUAUAGGUUGAAGCAUUUAUGUCAAUAAGUGUGGACGAAGCAGAAGUGAGAAUGUCGGCUUGAGUAACGAAAACAUUGGUGAGAAUCCAAUGCCCCGAAAAGCUAAGGUUUCCUUCACUAGGUUCGUCCAUGGAGGGUUAGUCAGAUCCUAAGGUUAGGCCGAAAGGCGUCGCCGAUGGUAAGCAGGUUAAUAUUCCUGUACUAAUAAUAAUUUACAACCGAGGGACGGAGUAGGUAUCCAUACACUAGAAUUGGAACUAGUGAGAGACGUUUAAGGUGAUGAGAAACAGAAGAAAAACUGUAUUUGAGCUGAAUCGUAUUAUGUGUUUAUGUUUUUUCUCUCUGAGAAAGUAAGUAAAUAUUAUGGUUAAUAUCAGACUUCCAAGAAAAGCUCGUACUUGAUAUUGAAUUAUUAUUAUCUGUACCCGAAUCCGACAAAGGUAGCUAGGUAGAGUAUACCUAGGGGCGCGAGAUAACUCUCUCUAAGGAACUCGGCAAAAUGACCCCGUAACUUCGGGAGAAGGGGUGCCUCCGAGAGGAGGUCGCAGUGAACAGGCCCAGGCGACUGUUUACCAAAAACACAGGUCUCCGCUAAGUCGUAAGACAAUGUAUGGGGGCUGACGCCUGCCCGGUGCUGGAAGGUGAAGCGAGUUGGUUAUUUAACUUCGUGUUAGAGAAGCUGACAACCGAAGCCCCAGUGAACGGCGGCCGUAACUAUGACGGUCCUAAGGUAGCGAAAUUCCUUGUCUGGUAAGUUCAGACCCGCACGAAAGGCGUAACGAUCUGGGUACUGUCUCGGAGAGAGACUCGGUGAAAUAGACAUGUCCGUGAAGAUGCGGACUACUUGCACCUGGACAGAAAGACCCUAUGAAGCUUUACUGUAGCCUGACAUUGGGUUUGGGCUUUUCUUGCGCAGUCUAGGUGGGAGGCUAUGAUGUUUUACUUGCGGGUAAAAUGGAGCCAUUAUUGAGAGACCACUCUGGAAGAGCUAAAAUUCUAAUAAUGAUCCUUGAAUCAGGACAUUUGACAGUGUCAGGCGGGCAGUUUGACUGGGGCGGUCACCUCCCAAAAGGUAACGGAGGUGUGCAAAGGUUCCCUCAAGCUGGACGGAAAUCAGCUGAAGAGUGUAAAGGCAUAAGGGAGCUUGACUGCAAGACCUACAAGUCGAGCAGGGGCGAAAGCCGGCCUUAGUGAUCCGACGGUACCGAGUGGAAGGGCCGUCGCUCAACGAAUAAAAGUUACUCUAGGGAUAA